AUCCAGCUGACGAGUUCCAAAUAGGACGAAACGUGCGUCUAGGAU
rfam:Schistosoma haematobium scaffold225_3, whole genome shotgun sequence.